GUCGAGCGGUAAGGCCUUUCGGGGUACACGAGCGGCGAACGGGUGAGUAACACGUGGGUGAUCUGCCCUGCACUUCGGGAUAAGCCUGGGAAACUGGGUCUAAUACCGGAUAUGACCUCCUAUCGCAUGGUGGGUGGUGGAAAGAUUUAUCGGUGCAGGAUGGGCCCGCGGCCUAUCAGCUUGUUGGUGGGGUAAUGGCCUACCAAGGCGACGACGGGUAGCCGACCUGAGAGGGUGACCGGCCACACUGGGACUGAGACACGGCCCAGACUCAUACGGGAGGCAGCAGUGGGGAAUAUUGCACAAUGGGCGAAAGCCUGAUGCAGCGACGCCGCGUGAGGGAUGACGGCCUUCGGGUUGUAAACCUCUUUCAGCAGGGACGAAGCGCAAGUGACGGUACCUGCAGAAGAAGCACCGGCUAACUACGUGCCAGCAGCCGCGGUAAUACGUAGGGUGCAAGCGUUGUCCGGAAUUACUGGGCGUAAAGAGUUCGUAGGCGGUUUGUCGCGUCGUUUGUGAAAACCAGCAGCUCAACUGCUGGCUUGCAGGCGAUACGGGCAGACUUGAGUACUGCAGGGGAGACUGGAAUUCCUGGUGUAGCGGUGAAAUGCGCAGAUAUCAGGAGGAACACCGGUGGCGAAGGCGGGUCUCUGGGCAGUAACUGACGCUGAGGAACGAA
rnacentral:rRNA from 1 species